UUAUGGCCAUAUCACGUUCAAACACUGGUUCUCGUACGAUCACCCAAGUUAAGCAACGUUGAGUCUGGUCUGUACCUAGAUGGGUGACCAUUAGGGAUCAUAUAGUGC